GACCAGCAUGGUAUAGUGGUUUGAGUGCUGGACUGUAAAUCUGAAAACCAGGGUUCGAUUCCCAGCUUGGUCA